rnacentral:rRNA from 1 species
ACUCAAAUGAAUAGACGGGGGCUCACACAAGCGGUGGAGCAUGUGGCUUAAUUCGAGGCUACGCGAAGAACCUUAUCCUGGACUUGACAUGUUCGAAAGAGGUGGGAAGUAGCCCGCGGAAACGUGGGGCCAACGGUAUCCAGUCCGGAACCUACCACAGGUGCUGCAUGGCUGUCGUCAGCUCGUGUCGUGAGAUGUUGGGUUAAGUCCCGUAACGAGCGAAACCCUUGUCCUCAGUUGCCAUCAUUCAGUUGGGUACUCUGGGGAGACUGCCGGUGUUAAACCGGAGGAAGGUGGGGAUGACGUCAAGUCCUCAUGGCCUUUAUGUCCAGGGCUGCACACGUGCUACAAUGGCCUGUACAAAGGGACGCCAACCCGCGAGGGGGAGCAAAUCCCAAAAAACAGGCCCCAGUUCAGAUUGAAGGCUGCAACUCGCCUUCAUGAAGUUGGAAUCGCUAGUAAUCGCGGGUCAGCAACACCGCGGUGAAUGUGUUCCUGAGCCUUGCACACACCGCCCGU